CGAUGUGAGGGCGAUCUGGCUGCGACAUCUGUCACCCCAUUGAUCGCCGGGGUUGGUUCGGCUGAUCUGGCUGGCUAGGCGGGGGUCCCCUUCCUCCCUCGCCGCUCCAUGUGCGUCCCUCCCGAAGCUGCGCGCUCGGUCGAAGAGGACUGCCUUCCCCGAAUAGAGAAGGACCGGUCUUCGGGUAUAAGAGGGUAUACGAGUAGCUGCGCUCCCCUGCUAGAACCUCCAAACAAGCUCUCAAUCCCCAGCACCACCAUAAACCAGAGCUGUGCAGUGCUCUUGUAAUAAAAGAAAAAAAAUCGGGCUGGGUGGUGGUUCAUCUAAUUGAGCACACAUGUU
rnacentral:snRNA from 1 species